GCGGGUGUAGUUCAAUGGUAGAACUCUAGCCUUCCAAGCUAGAUGCGCGGGUUCGAUUCCCGCCACCCGCUCCA
rnacentral:tRNA from 1 species